rnacentral:misc_RNA from 1 species
CAAAAAAAAAAAAAAAAAAAAGAUUCCAAUACUUUCAGUUAUAUGCAUUUUCUCAUAUUUACAUCCAAAGAAUAGAACAGCAAAAAGAAAUGAUUUUCCCUUGAUUUCAACCUUCAUAUCAUACACAAACCCAUUCUAAAGAUAAUUUUCUUCCUUGUAUAACUUUGCUUUUAGAACACUCAGUGAGUGGCAUUAAAACAAGUGGCAGAUAACCAUAAAUCACAAGGCUUUGCUAGUUUCUACAAAUGAAUGGAACUCAACCUAUUUUAUUCUAAAGGAAAGAAUUUAGUAAGUCAUGAUUCCAUAAACAUAAAAUAUUUUAAAAUUUGCCAUUUUAUCGUGUAGAUAUGCUUAAUGCUGGAUUCCUUUGUUGAGGUAAAUAUUACCCACAAAGGGAAAACAUCAGCACAAAUUUUCACAAGUCCCACAUUGAAAGUGUACAAGACAAUUAAAGGGCAUAUAAGUUCAAGACAAACUAAACCAAAAUGGCUUAGGCCAACUUGGUCAUGGGAAGUCCAAUGCCAAGCCCAGUUCAAUAUAAAAGCCUGUCUGUUUGAUGAUCCACACUCCUGAACUUGUAUUUCUCAAUAUGGCAUUGGAGCAAUGAGGACCAAUAGCCAUAGACCCCAGACCAUGGUGGGCUGAGCCCCAGCGAGCCAGACCCGUGAGCUGAGCUAAUCGAGCUAGACUCAAGUGGAUCUAUGGGCUAUCCAGUGAGCUAGAUGGGCCAACCCAUGCAAUGGCAAGUGAUAAUUGGGCCAGUGAGCUCUUGUGAGCCUUAGUUAAACCCAAUUGUACUUGAGGGGGAAUGUUGGAAUAUGGUUUGUUAGAAAAAGUCUGACAGUGUACAAGAAAAUCAAAGGGCAUACAAGUUCAUGGUAAUCCAAACCAAAAUAUCUUAGGCAAGUUGAUCGGGAGUUCAGU